UGAAACCCUUUUUGGUAUUAGGUGGAC
rnacentral:piRNA from 1 species